rnacentral:rRNA from 1 species
AACGAACGCUGGCGGCAGGCCUAACACAUGCAAGUCGAGCGAGGUAGCAAUACCUAGCGGCGGACGGGUGAGUAACGCGUGGGAACGUGCCCCUUGGUACGGAAUAGCCCCGGGAAACUGGGAGUAAUACCGUAUGAGCUCUACGGAGGAAAGAUUUAUCGCCAAGGGAUCGGCCCGCGUUGGAUUAGGUAGUUGGUGGGGUAAUGGCCUACCAAGCCGACGAUCCAUAGCUGGUUUGAGAGGAUGAUCAGCCACACUGGGACUGAGACACGGCCCAGACUCCUACGGGAGGCAGCAGUGGGGAAUCUUAGACAAUGGGCGCAAGCCUGAUCUAGCCAUGCCGCGUGAGCGAUGAAGGCCUUAGGGUUGUAGAGCUCUUUCAGCGAGGAAGAUAAUGACUGUACUCGCAGAAGAAGCCCCGGCUAACUCCGUGCCAGUAGCCGCGGUAAUACGGAGGGGGCUAGCGUUGUUCGGAAUUACUGGGCGUAAAGCGCACGUAGGCGGACUGGAAAGUCAGGGGUGAAAUCCCGGGGCUCAACCCCGGAACUGCCUUUGAAACUCCCAGUCUUGAGGUCGAGAGAGGUGAGUGUAAUUCCGAGUGUAGAGGUGAAAUUCGUAGAUAUUCGGAGGAACACCAGUGGCGAAGGCGGCUCA